UACGUAGGGGGCAAGCGUUAUCCGGAUUUACUGGGUGUAAAGGGAGCGUAGGUGGCAUGGCAAGCCAGAAGUGAAAACCCGGGGCUUAACCCCGCGGAUUGCUUUUGGAACUGUCAGGCUGGAGUGCAGGAGGGGCAGGCGGAAUUCCUGGUGUAGCGGUGAAAUGCGUAGAUAUCAGGAGGAACACCGGUGGCGAAGGCGGCCUGCUGGACUGUAACUGACACUGAGGCUCGAAAACGUGGGGAGCAAACAGG
rnacentral:rRNA from 1 species